rnacentral:rRNA from 1 species
CCUACGGGAGGCAGCAGUGGGGAAUAUUGGACAAUGGGCGAAAGCCUGAUCCAGCAAUGCCGCGUGAGUGAUGAAGGCCUUAGGGUUGUAAAGCUCUUUUACCAGGGAUGAUAAUGACAGUACCUGGAGAAUAAGCUCCGGCUAACUCCGUGCCAGCAGCCGCGGUAAUACGGAGGGAGCUAGCGUUGUUCGGAAUUACUGGGCGUAAAGCGUACGUAGGCGGUUAUUCAAGUCAGAGGUGAAAGCCUGGAGCUCAACUCCAGAACUGCCUUUGAAACUAGAUAGCUAGAAUCUUGGAGAGGUGAGUGGAAUUCCGAGUGUAGAGGUGAAAUUCGUAGAUAUUCGGAAGAACACCAGUGGCGAAGGCGACUCACUGGACAAGUAUUGACGCUGAGGUACGAAAGCGUGGGGAGCAAACAGGAUUAGAUACCCUGGUAGUCCACGCCGUAAACGAUGAUAACUAGCUGUUCGGGCUCUACGAGCUUGAGUGGCGCAGCUACGACAUUAAGUUAGUCCGCCGUGGGAGGUACGGUCGCGAGAGUAAACGUACGAAGUUAAGUUAGUAGNGUUGAGAGNGCGAGGACGACGACGAGGAGAGG